rnacentral:tRNA from 1 species
ACUUAUCUAAUAUAUUAGUAUAUUUGACUUCCAAUCAAAAAGUUUGUUUUACAAGUUAAGUA